GCACGUAUGAUGUAGUGGUUAUCAUAUUCGCUUCACACGCGAGAGGUCCUCGGUUCGAUCCCGAGUACGUGCA
rfam:Pneumocystis jirovecii RT7 supercont1.7, whole genome shotgun sequence.